GACGAACGCUGGCGGCGUGCUUAACACAUGCAAGUCGAACGAAGUGGCGAACGGGUGAGUAACGCGUAAUCAACCUGCCCUUCAGAGGGGGAAAACAGUUGGAAACGACUGCUAAUACCGCAUACUGAAGGAGGGGAUUGCGGCGGAUUAGCUAGGUGGAGGGGUAACGGCCCACCAAGGCGAUGAUCAGUAGCCGGUCUGGGAGGGAGAACGGCCCCAAUGGGACUGAGACAACGCCCAGGCUCCUGCGGGAGGCAGCAGUGGGGAAUCUUUCGCAAUGGACGAAAGUCUGACGGAGCAACGCCGCGUGAGUGAUGACGGCCUUCGGGUUGUAAAGCUCUGUUAAUCGGGACGCGGUACCGGAAUAGAAAGCCACGGCUAACUACGUGCCAGCCGCCGCGGUAAUAC
rnacentral:rRNA from 1 species